rnacentral:rRNA from 1 species
CCUACGGGAGGCAGCAGUGAGGAAUAUUGGUCAAUGGACGAGAGUCUGAACCAGCCAAGUAGCGUGAAGGAUGACUGCCCUAUGGGUUGUAAACUUCUUUUAUAUGGGAAUAAAACGUUCCACGUGUGGGAUUUUGUAUGUACCAUAUGAAUAAGGAUCGGCUAACUCCGUGCCAGCAGCCGCGGUAAUACGGAGGAUCCGAGCGUUAUCCGGAUUUAUUGGGUUUAAAGGGAGCGUAGGUGGAUUGUUAAGUCAGUUGUGAAAGUUUGCGGCUCAACCGUAAAAUUGCAGUUGAAACUGGCAGUCUUGAGUACAGUAGAGGUGGGCGGAAUUCGUGGUGUAGCGGUGAAAUGCUUAGAUAUCACGAAGAACUCCUAUUGCGAAGGCAGUUCACUGGACUGCAACUGACACUGAGGCUCGAAAGUGUGGGUAUCAAACAGGAUUAGAUACCCCUGUAGUC